CACGUAGGGAGCAAGCGUUGUCCGGAUUUAUUGGGCGUAAAGAGCUCGUAGGUGGUUCGAUAAGUCAGGUGUGAAAACUCUGGGCUCAACUCAGAGACGCCACUUGAUGCUGUCGUGACUUGAGUCUGGUAGGGGAGUGUGGAAUUCCCGGUGUAGCGGUGAAAUGCGCAGAUAUCGGGAGGAACACCAGUGGCGAAGGCGGCACUCUGGGCCAGUACUGACACUGAGGAGCGAAAGCGUGGGGAGCGAACAGG
rnacentral:rRNA from 1 species